rnacentral:rRNA from 1 species
AGUGAACGCUGGCGGUAGGCCUAGCACAUGCAAGUCGAACGGCAGCAUAGUAAGAGCUUGCUCUUACGGGUGGCGAGUGGCGGACGGGUGCGGAAUACAUCGGAAUCUACUUUUUCGUGGGGGAUAACGUAGGGAAACUUACGCUAAUACCGCAUACGACCUACGGGUGAAAGCAGGGGAUCUUCGGACCUUGCGCGAUUGAAUGAGCCGAUGUCGGAUUAGCUAGUUUGCGGGGUAAAGGCCCACCAAGGCGACGAUCCGUAGCUGGUCUGAGAGGAUGAUCAGCCACACUGGAACUGAGACACGGUCCAGACUCCUACGGGAGGCAGCAGUGGGGAAUAUUGCACAAUGGGCGCCAGCCUGAUCCAGCCAUACCGCAUGAGUGAAGAAGGCCUUCGGGUUGUAAAGCCCUUUUGUUGGGACAGAAAAGCAGCAGCUUAAUACCCCGCUGUUCUGACGGUACCCAAAGAAUAAGCACCGGCUAACUUCGUG